UACGUAGGGUGCGAGCGUUGUCCGGAAUUACUGGGCGUAAAGAGCUCGUAGGCGGUUUGUCGCGUCUGCUGUGAAAACUCGGGGCUUAACUCCGGGCCUGCAGUGGGUACGGGCAGACUAGAGUGCGGUAGGGGAGACUGGAAUUCCUGGUGUAGCGGUGAAAUGCGCAGAUAUCAGGAGGAACACCGGUGGCGAAGGCGGGUCUCUGGGCCGUAACUGACGCUGAGGAGCGAAAGCGUGGGGAGCAAACAGG
rnacentral:rRNA from 1 species